CCUCCUUUCUAAGGAAACACCAAUAAAAUCAAUCAUCUUCAGUUUUGAAAGACUUAGGCAACCAAGUUUUUCUUCGUGAACCUUCACGAAGGGCCUAUAGCUCAGUUGGUUAGAGCACACGCCUGAUAAGCGUGAGGUCGGCUUGGUUCAAGUCCAUUUAGGCCCACCAGAGUUAUAGGUUUCGUAAGGACACAAAUUCUUUGCGAAAAUUAGGUAAAUAAUAGUUAUUUAUCCGGAACAUUAAAGGAA
rnacentral:misc_RNA from 1 species